rnacentral:rRNA from 1 species
UCCGGCCGUCUAUCUAAAUGUCAUAACGACUCUCGGCAACGGAUAUCUCGGCUCUCGCAUCGAUGAAGAACGUAGCGAAAUGCGAUACUUGGUGUGAAUUGCAGAAUCCCGUGAACCAUCGAGUUUUUGAACGCAAGUUGCGCCCGAAGCCAUCAGGCCGAGGGCACGUCUGCCUGGGCGUCACGCAUCGCGUCGCCCCCCUCCCCUCGCAAAGCAAGGGAGAGGCGGGGCGGAUAUUGGCCCCCCGUGCGUCCCGGCGCGC